rnacentral:misc_RNA from 1 species
AACUGAUACUACCUGCGGGAACCUGCGGAAGGAUCAUUAGUGAACGCCCUCACGGGCUUAUAACUAUUCCAAACCUCUGUGAACCGUGCCCUUCGGGGCUAUUUUACAAACAUGGUGUAAUGAACGUCAUAUAUCAUAACAAAACAAAACUUUUAACAACGGAUCUCU